rnacentral:lncRNA from 1 species
CUUGGCAACGCUCUGCAUGGCCUUAUUUUCCCCCAUUCAUGUUUCACAGACAAGGAAACCACAAAGAUUCUGUCUCUCUGUCCAUCUGCCUGACACAGACAUGUGCCACCUACCCGGCCUCCCCACACUCAGCGUGUCCUGGUCUCCGUGCGAGGCUGUGGGCACCGUGCACUUGCAGAGUGAGAGGGCCAGUGUGCAACAUCAGUCAGUGUAGGCAGGGUGCUCAGGCCCUCGGGCUGCCCUGCCCGGAGCUUUGGGGGACACUGGUCCCCUCUUCUCCCCGAAGCCAUUCAGGCUGGUCAGUUAGGACUCAGUGGUGCAGACCCAGAGCUGAUUCCUCAGCUAACGCAGUGAGGUUGUCUUAGCCAGUCUGUUACUGUGUGUUCUUCAGAAACAGUUACAGCUUGCUUUUAGCAUCAAUGUAUUUUUUAUAAUAGAAAAAGAAACGAUACUACCAAAUAAUAUGAAGCAAGUUUACUACCACCCAAAGAAAACAUUAAACAUACUGUAUAUCUUUCUGAUGUUUUUAAAAAUACAUAUGUAACACACACCUAGAGAUCACUGUAAUGGGAAUGUACUUAUUUUUCCACUUGGUACCUUAUUCAUAGUUUACGUAUGUUAAAAAAUAGAUUUCCAUGUGAAUAUUUUUAAUUGGUGCGUGGUUGUAGUGCAUAAUGGCCGUGGCUUUCUGGGCUCUCGGUGGGAUCCUGUGUCUGCAGCACUUGGAGGUCUAGUUAGACUUGUGAUCUGCUAGGCAAAUGCAGUAGGGGCAGAAGCCUUUCAUUGCUGAUGAGAGACUGCAGUGACAUUUGUUCAUGGAGGUCGUGGAGAGAGAAGUGUGAGUGACUGUGUGUGUGUGUGUGGGGGUGUUAACUGCAGCCUGAUCUAGCCUGUAUGUAUAGCAAUAUUCUGCUUUUCAUCAUGAGAUAAACCAUUGCUUUUUUCACCAGUCCUAAGUUGCACUUAGAUUAUAAAGGUUGAAUAUCUCUUAUCUGACAUGCUUAGGAGCAGAAGAGAUACCGGAUUCUGGGGUUUUCUGGAUUCUGAACUAUCUAUAUAGACUUUACUGGUUCAGUAUCCCUAAUCCUGAAGUCUGUCAAAGUUUGAAACUUUUUGAAUGCUGACAUGACACUUGUGGAUCAUUCCAGAUUUGGGGUUUUCAGAUUUCAACCUGUGUAUGUUUAGAUUAUUUAUCCUAUUUUUGUGAGACAAGGUCCUACUAUGUAGCCUAGGCUGGCCUUGAACUCUUGAUCCUUCUGCCUCAGCCUCCCAAGUGUUAGGAGUAUAGGGAUGUACCACCAUGUCCAGUUUUUUUUAGCAUUUUAAUUAAAACAUUAAAUAAGACACUAAGCACAACAUCUUUGUAUGUCUAGCUUUGCCCAUUUUUCCUUAAAUUCUUAAAAGUAGGAAUUGGUUUAAGCUCUGACAAUUCAAACUCUGGUCUGUAUGACCUCAAAAUCCAUCCUCAUUUUUCUAGUACCAUUUCUGGCUCUUUCAUAUUUGAAACAUUUAUAUAUAUAUGUAUGUAUGUAUGGAAUUUGACACUAUGCAGAAAAAGCAACUGGAAUUUGUUUACAACAUUAGCAGGGCACUGUGGUUUUGUACAUUAGUAUAUUCUCUGGAAGCGUGAGGUCUAAGGCCAGGAGACACGCUAGAACUCUGCUCACCAUUCAUUUUCUUUUCCUUCUAGAAUCAUGAGUUGGUGGUGGCACUGGUAGGUAACUUCUGUGGUGAUCAUACCAAGUUUACUACAAACUGAUCAUUCACUUCAAUAUGUCUGAAGGAACAGUGAUUCUCAAUCUGUUUUAUGAUACCUAUUUUACUUUUAUUUGAAUUAGAUGAAUGUUAAUGCAUAGCAAAGAAUGUAGGGAGUGUCACCAGAUCAAGCUAAGAAAAUUUAAACUUGGGAAUCACUUUUCUAGGUUAUGGCAGUUAAAACCAUGAGACUCUUCUUCGGUUUUUGAGACAGGGUCUUGCUCCAUAGUUCAGACCGACCUUGAACAUUGUAGGCCACGCUGGCCUUGAACUCAGCGAUCCUCCUGCCUCAGUGCUGGGAUUACAGGCAUGUACCACUGCAUCCGGCAAAGCCAUGACACUCUUUAAGGAAUUUUUACAUAAAUUUUCCCUUGUUCCUAUAGUGUUUGAGAAUUGUCAGUUUCUUUACAAACUCUACCAUGAAAAUUAAACCCAACCAGUGACGUCCCAAAACAAUCCCAUGAUUUUAGUAUUUCUGUGUGUCAUUACCUUAUUAAAUAAAUAU